GUCGAGGUCAGUGAUAUGUCGCUGAAUGAUUACAUCUCUGUCAAUCCCUCGAAGCAUGCAACCUACCUUCCUCACACCGCAGGACGGUACUCGGUUAAGAGGUUCCGUAAGGCUCAGUGCCCAAUUGUCGAGAGGUUGACCAAUUCUCUGAUGAUGCACGGCCGUAACAAUGGAAAGAAGCUUAUGGCUGUUCGCAUUAUGAAACAUGCAAUGGAAAUCAUUCAUCUGCUCACUGAUGCCAACCCAAUCCAAAUUAUUGUGGAUGCUGUUAUCAACAGUGGGCC
rnacentral:misc_RNA from 1 species